GACAGAGUGGAGCUGCCCACCACAGCAGCAGGCAUUGGAGGUUCCCAAGUCUGGGAUGGUAAUCUUAGAACAAGUACUCAUCCGCAGCCCUGCUUUGGGGGUAUCUGCUCUCCAUGCUUGGCUCUCUAGAAAGGCAAGCCAUUCACCUGAGGGGUGGGAGAGGUGAUUUCAGCUUCGCCCGAGCAUGGGGAACACCCAAUGCCCAGCUGCCCUUACAGCCUGGGCCAGGGCUGCUGGGGCACAGCUGCAGGCAGUACUUGAAUUUGCCUGCUUGGGGCUACCUCAGGUCCAUUUACUGUGUUUUGAAGAGGAUGAUUUACCAUUUUCGUGUCUUUAGUGUCUGAUUGGUUAGUGCAAUGCAAACAGGUGUGAAAGUUGGGUGUCUCCUGGCUCUGUGUGCUGACCACACCAUGCCAACUUCUCCUGGGCGCUGCACAGAAAUGCCAUUGGAAGAGUUACUACCACAGGAGGGCUGCUGGCAAAUAUCUUGCUUAUCAGAACUGAUCUUCUUAGCAAGCAGUGCCAAUCACAAAAAAACAGACAAACAACAUUUAUCACUAUGAUGAAAUAUUGCUUUUCACUGAACCUAAGGAGAUUUUUUGUGACACCUCAUCUCAAUGGAACAUAAAGAAAUAGGUUUAAAAUGUUCCAAAUAAAUCUGAAAUUGAUUUUUUUUUUUGUAAUCUGAACAGUUUGUGUGUGGUGCUGUGCAGACAUAGCAUCUUAAUGACAGCCUUUGAAGAGAUGAGUACAUUAUCCAACAUCUCACCCAAUCUGUUUUUCCUGAAAAACUCUGUUUGGGGUAUGAAGUUUGACACCAGUGACUUCUCCUACAUUUGUAUAGAAAUAAUGAGGUGUUUCAAGGCUGGGAUGUCAGCUUUGAUCUUCAGUGCACUUGAGCAGCAUCUUAAAUGCAGGCCAAAACUCCUGUCUUUGGGUGAGGCUGUCACCCUGGGACAAGGCUGUCACAUCAGGCAAGGCUGUGUCACAGCACAAUUGCACCGUGACAGCACUGAGGCCUCCUGCUUGCCUUUUUGCCACCCAGACAUCGAUGACUCUGCAGCGUUGCACCCGUGUCCGAGCUUGUUCUUCUGAACUUCUGGAAGGUUUAUUUUAUUAACAGAGAUUUCUGUGUGACUCUGGACUUCUCUGUCUGUGUUGUCUUACUUUAAUAAAAAAGGAAAAGGAAAUGUGUAACUUACCCCUUUGAAAUUCUCAAACAAAGGCUCCCAGAAAAGCGCUGGGUGUUGUAUUGUUGUACUACUUAGCUAUAAAUUUCAUUUUUUUAUUACUAGGACUUCUGCUAUGUGUUAGGGCACCUUCUGUCUAUGUAUGUGGCUGCUUCUGGUGCCAAAAGAAAACAUAAAAUAGCUCUUUUCUCGAUAUAUAUGUCUUCAAGCUAUUAUUCUGCAUCUGACCUAUUGUCUGGAUAGAGUUAACUUUGGCUGCAGCGAAGAUUUCACUCUUCUGUUUUACAGCACCUGGAGGAAAGCCAGGCACUGGGAAGAGAAAGCAGGAGUAUGAGAUACUGCUGCGUGUCAGAACGGCCUUGAAAUGAAUGUCGUGUAUUCUCAGCUUUGAGAACUGAAUUCCAUGGGUUGUAAUUGAAUCCUCUGUCAGACCCAUGGGGCUCAGUUCUUCAGCUUGGAUAUUUCUGUCUUCACAUACACUGGAGAUCAAAGAAGCACUUGAUCAUGCGCUGACUCUUCCGAACGGUGAUAACAGCAAAUAGGAAAGAGAAAGAAUAACUGAUGUGAAUCAUUCUGACAGGAGGUUUCACUGCAAAGGCCGGGCACUCUCAUGUUAAGUAGCUGUAUAAUGACUGAACCCUUUCUUAGCUGAUUGUGGUGCUGCUUGCUGCUUAAUUUGAUCAUUUCUUCUCAGUUUAAUCAAGGUUGCAUACAAAUUACUGAGAUAAUCUUGAACGAAUUAUGGUCCCCAAAUAUUGUGAGGUGGUGCAGUGAUGCUAAAGGUGUCUCUGGUGUGCAGCAACAUGCUGGACCCACCAGGUCUGCCAGCUGCUGGUCUGCUGUGGCCUCCUGCCUAGGCUCACAGCUGUGCAGUUUGUUUCUUUUGUUUUGUCCUAUGCCAAAUACCCAUUUCCAGCUAAAAAUAAAAUUAAAUUGUCACAGCUGUGACAAAAGAAUAUUCAUUUGCAUCAGCACCCUUGCAUAAACACAGUUUUUCUUUCCUGAGGAUGGUUAUAUGCUCCCAAAGUGCUUGGGUUAGGGAGCUUCUACUGUAAUCAGUGGUGGCAAUGCAUGUGCUGCUUGAAGGCUUGACAGUGCCAAGUAUACCCUAGAAAGUACAUUCACUCAAACCAUGGGCUGGUAAACAUCAUGAUUCUUUCUCGGGAGAUCUACGUUCGAUUUUUUUUUUUUUUCCUUUCAGGCACCAGAAAAAUAACCUGUGGUCUCCAAACAUGUGAAGAAGUAUAAUUACCAAUGAGCUUUCUACCUGUUUCCUGCAAUAAUAACCCCUUCCUAAAUUAUGUUUUCAAACUCAGUAAAAUUGAUCAGGUAUAAAAAAUGGAUCAGGGAUAAAAAGCACAGGGAUAUUAAAAUCCCACAGGUGCAGGAGGAGCGCAUUCAGCUAAGUAGUUUAAAACUGUCAUGCGCCUUUUAUUCAAAAAAUGUAUUUAUGCUAAAAAUAAUCAGAUAUAAUCACUGUUGCCUGUGGAUACAGAUGUACCUUUGUACUGAUGUGCUUUUUGUUAUAAAUUUGUAUUCUAGGGGUUGAAGAGUUUCUUUGUGUCUGCCUGAAAUAUACUAUGCUCACCAGUCAUGAGAUGAUGGUUCUUGGAAAAGCCUACCAGCUCCACCAGCUCCUGCUGGGACAAUAUCUAUUAAACAAGAAGAGGGAGAAACGCACAAAGAAAAGGAGAAUGUUGAAGUUUCAUUUCUGCCAUCUUCCCUGUCAGGAAGAGGAAAUGAAAUUGGAGGUCAUAGUUAGCAGAAUCUGCAAAAGAUGAGAGAGCAAAGCAGCAGCUGCACAGAACUCAAAGCAGGCAGUGUGGUGGAUGUUAGGCAGCUGCAGGCACAAAACUGCAUUGGCUUCCCCACUGCAAAGCCCAGCCUCCAGGCAGUGAUGCAGCAGAGGUGAUGUAUAUGUGAUGGCAUCCUCGCAAGGCCCCUGCUGAAAUCAAGAUGGUCUUUGGUACGGGAGUUUUGCAGUUCUCUCUCUCCAAGGGCAGUCCUCAAAACACAGACUUAUUCCUCAGGACUCCCGCUUCAGGGUAGCUUGAAUCUGGUGGGGAAAAAAAAUUACAAAAAUGCUGGAUGGGCUCGUGUGCUGCUUCAACAGCAGAAUGGAAACAAAAGGUGGAGCAACAUGGAGAGAGAGGCAGCCAGAUAGCUAGGAGCUGCUGCUGCAUGCAGUAACUCAGGGCUGGAGGUGCUCACAUGUUUUGCAUUGCAGAAAUGGACCAAUACUACAGCUGCAACUAGAGGAGACUAUGACACCUACUCUCUUCCCUGAAGUGUCUGACCUUCACAAGCCAGAACACAAAGCCCAUCAGUCUGACACCAGCUGAAGGUGGCUUCAGGUAUGGCUUCAGAAUUUUGGCUCUGGAUGCAUUUUAACAUCAGUCUGGAAGGACCAGAGGAUACAAGGGUUUAGGUAUAAAAUUCCUUUUUUUUUAAAAAAAAAAAAAAGUAUUGGUAGGUAAUUUUUUUUUUUUUUGUCUCUUGUCACACUGCAAAUGGGGGUGUACAUGUAGAAAAAAAACCAAACAAACCACAAAACAACAGCAACAAAACAACAACAAAAACCUGUAAGGAAUCUUCAUUUGCAGCAGUUUUACUUUUGAUAAGUACAGCUAACACUAAUCCAAUGAGGAAGGUGUCAUUGCCUUCUAAUUAACUGGAGGGUGAGGGCAAGGGAGAAUUACAUUAAUGUGGAAGCAGCCUGCAAAGUUGCUGCAUGCUACAAUAAAAUAUUUUGCACUAGAAUUUUCUGAGAGGCUUAAAUUAGCCAGUGAAAGGUAGAAGGUCCUACACACUUCAGCUUCUACUCGUGUUGUGUUGUGCUUUUCUGCCCUUCUCCUUGGGCUGAGCUUAAACGCUCCUGGUGACAAGAAGCCCUGAUGUCAUGAGUGACUGGGAGCUGGCUCGGCUCCUCCAGAUGACAAUGUCCGUCUGCCAGCCACUAGUCCCAGGGCUCAAAUAACUCUUGCAAUCGUCUAACAUGGAUCUAAGCCUCUUAUUUUACAUGUUAUAACCAUGCAGCUGGAAGCAAACAUAUAUGCAAGUCGCACAUUAAUUAACAGUGACUAAUGCGACCUGAUUCCUUUGGCAUUAGGCAUUUAUACUGGUAUAUUUUUGUGCAUUGCAAAUACAAAAUGGGAAUGGCAAAAUAAAUUAGACAAUAUUAGAGGUUUUGUCACUACAUAUACAUUUUUUUUUCUUUUUUUUUUUUUUUUUUUUUUUUUUUUUUUUUUUCAAGAGGAGGAAAUUCUUUGGUUGUGCAGCAUGUUGAGAGGUGCUAGGCUUAGAGAGGCAAUGAGUGCUUUUGACUUGCUUCCUGCAGCCUUUAUUGUUGUCACACCACUCUAAUAAUGCAAAAACUUGAGUGUGUGUGGUUCAGCCAGUUGUUACAUAGUUCUCUCUUUGGACCUUUAUGUGCCAGUCUUAGUGUUUGUCCCAAAGCACCAUGUGACACACAGAUACAGGGUUACACUCCGACCCUUCCUCGAGCACUCCUGCUGUCAGGCCAAGGGCACCUAUGGCCUGAAAUGUCUGAGACAUUGACUGAGACAUUGACUGAAACAGGCUGGGGGGCAUUCCUCCUGUCAGAGCUAUGCUGCAACAUAACUGUUGUAGCUGAUUUGCCUUCACUUUGCCAACAAGCUUUCCACCUCAAAUAAAAUAAUGCCAUAGCACAGCAAUCAGCAGAUAUGCUUUGCUCUAGAUUGUGGAAUUGGAAUAUAUUGCAGAUGGUAUUUACUUAAAAGACAAGUAAAUUUUUAUUUCUGUCUCUGCUUGGAGCAGACCUAAUUAAAAGCCAGGCAGAGUGUUUUAUUCUUCACUUGAUAUAUUACAAUUAGUGGCAACAUCUGUGCUGCAUGAUUUAUUAUUUGUGUGCAAUGUUGUAAAAUAGUUUCCCAACAUUAUAACCUGGUGCACAAAAUAAAUAAAUAAAUAAACAACAUUAAAAUGAUAAUCUAAUUUGUAGUAAGAUAAUGUAAAAGAAUGCAAUAUAAUUUCUUGUGUUUAAACUGUCUUUCUUAUCCCAUUCCAGCAGUCCACGGAAACUGUUCUGGGGUGAAGUGGGGGGGGACUUUUCACCAUGUAUAAUGGUCUGUUAAAUACAGGCUGCAACUUCAGCUGAACUUAGUUUUGGGACAUUGGAACUGGAGAAAUGCCCCACGGACAUCCUUGAAUCAACAAGAUUUGAGCCAAACAAGACUUCAGGGUAUCAUAGUCACCGCCCUGAGUCACACAGGGAACAAGGUCUGUCUCUGUACCUUACACUAUGUGGUGGGGAUAGCACCUAAAGAAGUAAUAACUCUUCUGGCAUAACAUAAUAAUUUAUCACAGCUUUUCAUCCCCAGCAGCUACCUAAUGCAGAACACGGUGGGAGUCCUCUUUGCCAGGACAAGAUAAAAAGACUGCUCACUGCCAUGCAAGUGUCCAACUGUAGUGAUCUUUCUUCUGCACUGGUGUUGCAUUCAGCCCCUCUCUCCCUUUCCACUUAUCUCCCACCUCAGCCAAAUUAUUAAGUAUUGCCGUUCACUUCCAUCUAUCCAUGUGUUAAAUCCCAGGGGUGGUUACAUCCUCCUGAGAGGCACAGUGAUUCCAAAAGACCCUUAGUCUGCACUUCAAUGUACACGGCCGGGAAGGUAAAGAAACAUGGGAGCUGGAGUAGCUGCUUAUCCUGUAGUCUGCAGUAUGAGCUCUACUUAUCCACUGAGUGACUCACACUGUUAGGAGACUAAUUAAGAAGAGGAAUACCUCUGUGUGUAUUAUAAAUAGCCCAAAGGAGGACAUAGCCUAUUUCAGGACAAAGUCAAAGGAAGAGCUUAAUCAUUGUCAUUGGCAGCUUAAAUCAGCCGGUGUGACUUUGCCCAGAGGAGUGCAGGAAUAGCUGCGAAGAGAAACUCCUUCUGGGUGCUUUGCUGCUGGUUCUCCUUCUCUGCAGCUGUCUUACCUGACUUAAACUCCAGCCUGGCAUCAAUAAUGCAAUGUCAGCAUGUUAGCAGACAUGCUGUGAAUAAGCUUGUGGCCAAGAUACUUCAGAUCAUGUAUGUUUAAUCUUGGGGUGAUGGAUUUGGAUGGUGUACAAGGGAGUAGCCUUUUUUGCCACUGCAGCCGAGUUUAUCAGGGGCUGUGAACUGAUCUGAGCCACUAGAUGCCAGAAGUAUGGCCCUGCAGCUGGCAAGCAGAAGUGGAGACACAUCAAUAGCAGGCCUCUUUUGGAAAAAAAAAAAAAUAAAUUAAUACUCCCCCCCACUUCCCCCCCCCCCCCCCCGCAAUUCCCCUUCCUCCCCCCACCCUGCUGUUAGCCUGGAGAUAUUCAAUGAGAAUUUUUCUACUUUUGUGUGCUUUUAACCUUAGCUGUGAGCUGUUUCUCCAGCUCUGAGGGUUGAUUGCCUUUCCAAUUCAACUUAAGCUGGCAGAAUAUCUUUGUACAGGCCAUUACAACCACCAGUCAUCUAAAUUACAUAAUUUGCAUUGAUUUAAUUAAUACAAAGAGUUUUUAUCCAUUUAGAACAGAUUUUCUGUUGCUGUUGUGCACACACUUGGGGACAAAGUGAUGUCAGGCUUUCUUUUGCCUUCCAGACAUCUCCAUCCCCACUGUGGGGCUCGCGUGUCAGUGCAGCAUGUCAGAACACAGGAAGAUAUGUGACUAUGCAAUCACCUCAAAUGUGCAUUUCCCACCCACAAGCAAUCAUUCUAAUAAUGUUAUAUUUUCUUAGCAUGCUUGCUACUUUUCUCCUAUUGAUAAGAUGAAAUAUAAAUACCUGCUGCUGUGACAUAAUCACUAAAGAAAUAUUAAACUGGAACUCAUAAUCUCAUCAACCUAUGGACUGUAAAGUAGUAAUACAACAAAUUGAAGUAUUUUCCUCCAAAGUGAAGCCUUUUGGCUCCCAAGUGGAACCCUCCCAGCUUUGCUUCAGCAUCACUUUUAUCCACAGUUAGUGGAUAAAAAAGUAGGAAAUUGUACUUAAUUGUGUCAGUGAAAGAGGGUUGAAUUAAGAAAGGGAUUUUUUUUUUUUUUUUUUUUUUGAUGAUAGGGAUAUUUUCUAUUACAGAUGGAAGGUGGAACUGAAAACUCUGGAAAGCCAGAUCGAAUGCCAUACAGAUAGAUUCCCUCAGAGAUUAAUUAGGUUUUCAGGAAAAAAAAUAAAUCAAACUGUGUUUUUCACUGUUUCUUUUGCUAGAUCCCAUAUUAUGCUCUUGGCAAUCCCAAGGGGAAGUCUCUGCUGCUGUCUGUCUCAAUCUACUUUGUUCUCUUGCCCUCUGUUCAGUCCCAGGCUGCUUCUGCCUAACAAGAGUGCAAAGAGAUGAUAACAAAAAAACCUCACUGCCUAUGGGGAACAGCUAUCGUUAUGGGACAUGAUCACUUUACCUUUUAUUACACUCUGUACUGAGGCAGCAAGACUAUUGCUGUUCAGUUCUUUGCACUGCAAUCUGCAUUGUUCGGUGAUGUUAGGACAAAAUGAGUUACUCCUUCUCGCUCAUUAAAAAUAUCUUGUGUCUGGAAGGGAGCUAGGAAAGAAGGGAGAGAGAGAAAGCGCCAUUAUGAGCAUGAAUAGCCUCUCUGAUCUGGCUUGGUUUCACCCUAGCCUGUGGAGUAGAAAAUGUUCUGACUGGCUGCAGCAGAGCCAGAAUUCAAUAGCUUUUAAUUACCAUCAGUCAUUAUAUAUGUUUGUUAUAUAGCCAGCAUAAGAAAAACUCAAUAAAAUUCUUGUUUCAUGAAGCUAUGGGAACUCUGGAGCAUAAAUAAAUGGUGUUGGACCUCAUGGCACAUGACACAUCUUCUUAAGGGGGAAACAAUUCAAAUUUAACUACUGUAGCAGUAACAGUGCUUUUAUUUUAGACACCUACUGCACACUGACACUAACCCACUGUGCAGACCUGACACGCAGAGCUGGCACAUACCCGUGUGCCAUCAAACCUGCCACACUGUGCUGGAUGUGGUGUCUCAACUCUGCUCAUCACUUGGUUGCAAUGAGAAAGAGUGAUCAAGACAGAAAUGCAAAUUAUAUAACACUCAGAGAAUAUACAAUGUCUUCAAUUAUGUUUGUUUGAAUGAAUUUGGGAAUAAAAUCUGCAAGAAGUGUAGUGCUGCUGGCCCUCCUGUAGAAGAAGGAAUGGCGAGGCAGCCUGCUGGGUUUACGAAGGAUGCACAAAGCCCUGUUUCCCCUGCACAGCAGGCUCAGGUGUGAAGCGUCACUGGCUUUUUUAUGGCUCCACAAGUGGCUGUUGGGGGCAGCUUGCUCUGAGAAAGUCCUGCCGUGAGCUUCGGCUUGUGCUCCUGGCUGCAUUCAUGCUGCAGCUUUGCAACGCAGCGUGCAACCAAAACAUGGUAUGUAAGUCUCUCACAGGAAUCAGCUCCUCGGUCCGUCCUUUCUUUUUUCUGCCCUUCUUCCUGGUCCUGUCAGAUGCACUCACCCCUGUGGGAGCUGGAGGAGCCCAGCACAAUGAGUGCCUGAAUGCUAGAGAAGAAACCAUGAAAUAUGACAUUUAUUUCAGGCUGCUGAGAGAGGGAUAGCUGUGCUGCCUGUUGUGAUGUUUAACAAAAUGUCUGUCUGUCCUGUGUCAGCAAACACCAAAGGUAACCACCUGUUCCUGUCCAUCUGUCCUGGCUGAGCAGCCCAAGCCAGAUAUCCAGCCAGGUCUUAGGUCACCUAGCACCUCUUUUUCUUGGAGGCUGAAGAAACCACAGCCCUCCCAGAAGCAGAAGAAAGUCUCACUGCCUGACCUACAUCAUGGUCAGGCUUUCUGGCUGUUCCUGCUGGCAGUUCUGCCCAGGUAACUGGAAGCUUCUUCCUCUUACACUCAAAGGGAAAGGAAGGGAAAAAACUGACUGGGACAUGUGCUUUAUCAACAUAUAGAAAAGAAGUUGGUUGGUGCCAGACAAGCCAGCAGACACCCAUCCUGCCCCACAGAUAUACAAGUGAGGUAUCCAUGAAGAUCAAGAAACAAAAUUUAAGAAAAAGUUAAGUUCUGCACUUGCCUGGUUUGUGACCCGUAUAUAUGCACCGACCUGCCUGCCCUUUCCCUCUCUCCAUGGCAUCACCACCAUGCUGGGAAGGGAGCAGGGGGACUUGUUUGCCCUGGUAUCAACCAGAGAUAUGCCUCUCAAAAACAAGGCAGCCAGGACAUCACUUGUGUCUCCACUGGGUGCAAACAAGGGGCGCUGCUGGCCCCAGGGUGUGUGUGUGUGUGUGUCUGUGUGUCUGUGUGUGUGUGUGUGUGUCUGUGUGUGUGUCUGUGUGUGUGUCUGUGUCUCUGUGUGUCUGUGUGUCUGUGUGUGUGUGUGUGCGUGCGCACGUGCUGCUCUCCAACAGCAAAGCAUCCAGCCUGCUGAAGCUCAGUUUUAAAGCAGGUUAAGCCUAAGAAUCACAGGAGACGAGGAAAAGAGAAAUGAAAGGUUUAGGGGGUAGAACCAUUGCCAAAUUUCUGUAAAAUAUUUUUUUCCACUCUCACUGCUAUUAAAGUCAUUUUUUUCUUUAACACUCAAAGCAAUUCCUCUUUUCCAGGCUUAGAUUUGAUUUAAAGUGCUGUUAGCUCAGUUUUGGAUUAGCUGGUUCAGACAAGCCUCCAGGCAGAUCCCAUUAGCACCCACUCUUCCCCCACCUUGUGAAGCCUUCAUGUGACCUGCAGGGCUGGAGCUGAGACAGGCAGAGCCUGCAGCUGCGAGCACCCACUGGGCUCACCCACAGAGGCCACGUAGGCUGGGCCAACAUGAGCAAAUAAAAAAAAAAGUUGAACCACAACGCCGAGGAAGACUACGG